rnacentral:rRNA from 1 species
AUUGAACGCUGGCGGCAGGCCUAACACAUGCAAGUCGAGCGGUAGCACAGAGAGCUUGCUCUCGGGUGACGAGUGGCGGACGGGUGAGUAAUGUCUGGGAAACUGCCCGAUGGAGGGGGAUAACUACUGGAAACGGUAGCUAAUACCGCAUAACGUCGCAAGACCAAAGUGGGGGACCUUCGGGCCUCACACCAUCGGAUGUCCCCAGAUGGGAUCAGCUAGUAGGUGGGGUAAUGGCUCACCUAGGCGACGAUCCCUAGCUGGUCUGAGAGGAUGACCAGCCACACUGGAACUGAGACACGGUCCAGACUCCUACGGGAGGCAGCAGUGGGGAAUAUUGCACAAUGGGCGCAAGCCUGAUGCAGCCAUGCCGCGUGUAUGAAGAAGGCCUUCGGGUUGUAAAGUACUUUCAGCGGGGAGGAAGGCGGUGAAGUUAAUAGCUUCACCGAUUGACGUUACCCGCAGAAGAAGCAUCGGCUAACUCCGUGCCAGCCGCCGCCGUAA